AGCAGCAAUUACACCAGUCGAAAAUAAAAAGAGAAAUGUCGUCUCCUCCAUUUUUCUCCGCAUCACUCGAAUGCAGCAUAAGGACAAUAAAUUUGCAGGACAUGUCAUCUUUUUUCAAACUUAACCCUUCAUCAUCCGAACAGAUCUCCAGAAGCUGAAACAGUUUGUAGGCCGUCAGAGAGACAGAGGAUGAGUGAUGACGCUGACUGCAGCACAGGUCAGUGCUUCAGCUGCAGAGCUUCGUUUCGGCUGCAAGAACUUCUGUAAAUCGACUAACAUCUAACUCGAUUCAACUGUGUCGUCCUGCUCCGUGGAAACGAGCCCAAUGCUGCUGAAUGAAAUUAUGUGGCAUUGUCUCAGGGCUGGAUGUGACCUUGAGGAUAAAAGUCUGUAUCACCACAAGCAAUGAAAACACAACUGGAAAAGGGGGAAAAGCACAAACCACUGACACCGUCUGGAUAUUUUCACACACCCUGCCCUUGUUCUUUUAGAAACUGCUCAUUCCACCCAAGGCCAAUACACAAGUGGUAAGCUACAUCACAUAGUUUUUAUUGUAUAGUAGAACAAGACUUUUUUUUCUCCCCCCCUCAGUGUCCUUCGUGCAUUUUUGUUGGCUUUUCUCCUAAAACCAGCCUAACUGACCCGUACACAGGGCUUUACCCUGGGAAAAUGGAAAAUAAAUAAA